GGAUUUUCCCAGCAAGAUCUCCAUGUACAGCUACAUCUUUAGGGCCGCUCGGGUUAAUAUAUGUCGUCAGAGGCUCCUCACGCCAAUCCCGGGGCGGCAGGGGCGGCGCCUCGAGCUCUCGGCAAUAAAACUUUUUGAUGUUCACGUUGCUAAUUGCCGAGGUCCUCUUCCAGGAUUGGCUACCUCCUCAUAACCAUAAGAUAAUUAAAACUUGGCGGGGGGGGGGGGCAGGGUUAAAAAAACUUUUUUUAUCAGUCAGAGGAUAAUGCAAGUGUUUAACAGAUGCUUCACUAUUAAAAUAUUUUCCCCCCAAGUCUCAAAUAUUGAAGAAUCUCUAACCAGGCUCGAAACGCCGGUCUCAGUGGCUAUUGAGUUACCCACCAAGUUACCCCGGUUAGAGCUGUUUGGGGUGGCUCACGUUAUUGCGGCAAACUUUGGAGAUGACGGCUGAGUCCUCCGGGCGAACAUGUCAAGCCGAUUGUAAAUGCUGUUAUUUCCACAUCCUUCAGGGACACCAGUCCCUACGAAGACCUUGGGCGAUUUUGAAGUGCGGGCACCUCGAUUCCCCGAAUCUGUAGUGUGGCUGGUAUCGGUGUUCCCCUGGUUUAACUAGCCUGUUUGAAGGCACAGAUCAUUCAUGGGGAUGUAUAACCGAAACCAGUCCUCUCCACCGCCUGGGGAUCUUCACUUUCGCAGUCUACGACUGCCUGUGACUCCAGAAAGACAAACUGCAGAUUGGCCAAGAUGGGGAAAUUGAGGCAGAGAAGCCAAGACAUGUGCUAAAGGUCAUGCAGGCUAUGAAUGGAGCUGGAAUGUGAACGCAGGCCAUAUGACCCCAGAGCCCAUGUUCUUGAACCCUUAGAAAGACAGCAGCAACACACCUGGUGCAGCAGCUGCUUAGUUGGAGUGGCUGACAAGGUUGGCAGAGGAUCCCGUUCCUCCCGUGGAGUGGCUGCCAUGAUACUGCCUGCACUGAAGCUGCUCCUAUUUCUGAAAUAUGUAUUGUUAUUUUUUUCCCUGCAUGUUGAACAUUAUACUCUUCUGUUCUUUCGCAUUCUCUUCUUCCCUUCCGGAUGACUUCUAGGGUUUUUGUGAUUCUGUAAUUCUAAAGGAGAAAGGAUAAUAAGAAUUGUGAGGCCGGGCGCGGUGGCUCAUGCCUGUAAUCACAGCACUUUGGGAGGCCAAGGUGGGCGGAUCACUAGGUGAGGAGAUGGAGACCAUCCUGGCUAACACGGUGAAACCCCGUCUCUACUAAAAAUACAAAAAAUUAGCGGGGUGUGGUGGCGGGCGCCUGUAGUCCCAGCAACUCGGGAGGCUGAGGCAGGAGAAUGGCGUGAACCCGGGAAGCGGAGCUUGCAGUGAGCCGAGAUUGCGCCACUGCACUCCAGCCUGGGCGAAGAGGGAGACUCCAUCUUAAAAAAUUAAAAAAAAAAAUUACAGAAAAUUAGCUGGGCGCGGUGGCGGGCGCCUAUAGUCCCAGCUACUCGGGAGGCUGAGGCAGGAGAAUGACGUGAACCCGAGAAGCGGAGCUUGCAGUGAGCCAAAAUCGCGCCACUGCACUCCAGCCUGGGCGGCAGAGCGAGACUCCGUCUCAAAAAAAAAAAAAAAAGAAUUGUGAUGUGAGUGUCCAAAAAAACCCUGAUUUCCAAUCACCUACACAUGGCUGUUUCCUAGAUACACCAGAAAAAAUUGUGACUUUCCGGAUACCUAGUUUCCCUCCCUCCCUCCCUCCCUCCCUUCUUCCCUCCCUC
rnacentral:lncRNA from 1 species